UUAGUUGCAUUAUCCCUUUAUAUCAUCUUUUGUAUUUUGAUGAUUAUAGAUAUUUAAAUGAAAGAAUAUGAACGAUAUAAAAGAAUUUAUAUUUGAAUGCAAAAGGUUAUAUUUUGAGAUAUCAUGUGAUGUAAAAUAGAAGAAAUGAUGUUAAAGAAAAGAAUGUAAACAAUUUGAUUAAAGUUGUAUGCAUGUAUGUGAUUUAAAGUUAAUCAUAUUACUUGUAUGUUGACUCGUUAGUACUUUCACUUUGGCUACUGCUUUCCCUCGUGCAAGCCAUUAUGUAUGCUUUCGCAUGUGCAAAUUCUAUACUCUAUUUGUACUUAUUGUUGAGCCUUGGGUGGACAGGGGAGGUGCUGUCUG
rnacentral:lncRNA from 1 species